rnacentral:rRNA from 1 species
AACGAACGCUGGCGGCAUGCCUAACACAUGCAAGUCGAACGAGACCUUCGGGUCUAGUGGCGCACGGGUGCGUAACGCGUGGGAACCUGCCCUUAGGUUCGGAAUAACUCCCCGAAAGGGGUGCUAAUACCGGAUAAUGUCUUCGGACCAAAGAUUUAUCGCCUUUGGAUGGGCCCGCGUUGGAUUAGCUAGUUGGUAGGGUAAAAGCCUACCAAGGCGACGAUCCAUAGCUGGUCUGAGAGGAUGAUCAGCCACACUGGGACUGAGACACGGCCCAGACUCCUACGGGAGGCAGCAGUGGGGAAUAUUGGACAAUGGGCGAAAGCCUGAUCCAGCAAUGCCGCGGGAGUGAUGAAGGCCUUAGGGUUGUAAAGCUCUUUUACCGGGAUGAUAAUGACAGUACCGGGAGAAUAAGCGCCGGCUAACUCCGUG